rnacentral:rRNA from 1 species
AUUGGACUUUAGUCGCGCAGUAUAGGUGGGAGGCGUUGAGAAUACUCUUGCGGGAGUAUUGGAGCUAUCAGUGAGAUACCACUCUUCUAAUGUUAGAUUUCUAACUUUGAACCAUUAUCUGGUCAAAGAACAGUUUCAGGCGGGCAGUUUGACUGGGGCGGUCGCCUCCCAAAUGGUAACGGAGGCGUACAAAGGUUUCCUCUGAACGGGUAGAAAUCGUAUCUAGAGUGUAAAGGCAUAGGGAAGCUUGACUGUGAGACCUACAAGUCGAACAGGGACGAAAGUCGGUCUUAGUGAUCUGACGGUACUGAGUGGAAAGGCCGUCACUCAACGGAUAAAAGUUACUCUAGGGAUAAC